rnacentral:rRNA from 1 species
UACAGAGGGUGCAAGCGUUAAUCGGAAUUACUGGGCGUAAAGCGUGCGUAGACGGUUAUGUAAGUCAGGUGUGAAAGCCCCGGGCUCAACCUGGGAGGUGCGCUCGAGACUCUGGUGCUGGAGUUCGGGAGAGGAGCGUGGAAUUCCCAGUGUAGAGGUGAAAUUCGUAGAUAUUGGGAAGAACACCGGUGGCGAAGGCGGCGCUCUGGACCGAGACUGACGCUGAGGCGCGAAGGCGUGGGGAGCAAACAGG